rnacentral:piRNA from 1 species
UGGUCAUUAUACCCUGUACCUUCAAACAGUU